ensembl:snoRNA SNORD59A small nucleolar RNA, C/D box 59A
UCUUCUAUGAUGAUUUUUAUCAAGAUGACUUUCGUUCUUCUGAGUUUGCUGAAGCCACAUUUCGGUACUGAGAAGA